UGUGGUUCUCGGGUGAUGCACCCUGGAACCAGAGAGGAGGGAGCCUGAUUCCAGGGUGCAUCACCCGAGAACUGCC
rfam:Myotis davidii contig177042, whole genome shotgun sequence.